GAUGAACGCUGGCGGCGUGCCUAAUACAUGCAAGUCGAGCGAACAGAUGAGGAGCUUGCUCCUCUGACGUUAGCGGCGGACGGGUGAGUAACACGUGGAUAACCUACCUAUAAGACUGGGAUAACUUCGGGAAACCGGAGCUAAUACCGGAUAAUAUAUUGAACCGCAUGGUUCAAUAGUGAAAGACGGUUUUGCUGUCACUUAUAGAUGGAUCCGCGCCGCAUUAGGUAGUUGGUAAGGUAACGGCUUACCAAGGCAACGAUGCGUAGCCGACCUGAGAGGGUGAUCGGCCACACUGGAACUGAGACACGGUCCAGACUCCUACGGGAGGCAGCAGUAGGGAAUCUUCCGCAAUGGGCGCAAGCUUGACGGAGCAACGCCGCGUGAGUGAUGAAGGUCUUCGGAUCGUAAAACUCUGUUAUUAGGAAAGAACAAAUGUGUAAGUAACUAUGCACGUCUUGACGGUACCUAAUCAGAAAGCCACGGCUAACUACGUG
rnacentral:rRNA from 1 species